CAGGUAGAACGUGGCUACUCCUGGUGUUAAACUGGGAGAGGAAAGUCCGGGCUCCGGAAGGGCAACGUAGCGGGUAACGCCCGCCGCUUGAAUUAUCUUCGAGCAGGAAUUCCGCCGAAGGCGGACCCGCCAAUCUUUGUGGCGGGAGAGCUACAGAGACGAGUCUUGGCGUAAGCCAAGGGUGAAACGCAGCAAUCUCUACGUGGAGCAAGGCCGAAUAGGAGAUGAGGAAUGGCCCAUUCCGUUAUCAGUCUCGGGUAGGCUGCUUAAACCUGAUGGUAACAUCAGAUUUUAGAGAAAUGGCCACUACAGUAAAGCGGAUAAUCGCUUCAACACAGAACCCGGCUUAUUCUACCUGUCUU
rnacentral:RNase_P_RNA from 1 species